ACGAACGCUGGCGGCGUGCUUAACACAUGCAAGUCGAACGAUGAAGCCCUUCGGGGUGGAUUAGUGGCGAACGGGUGAGUAACACGUGGGCAAUCUGCCCUUCACUCUGGGACAAGCCCUGGAAACGGGGUCUAAUACCGGAUAACACUCUGUCCCGCAUGGGACGGGGUUAAAAGCUCCGGCGGUGAAGGAUGAGCCCGCGGCCUAUCAGCUUGUUGGUGGGGUGAUGGCCUACCAAGGCGACGACGGGUAGCCG
rnacentral:rRNA from 6 species